UCUCCGUUUCAUACUAUAGACUUUCUAGCGUUGCCCACAUUCAUAUAUGUGUUAAUGAAUCUAGAUAUAUAUGUGUGCCUAGAUGAAUCUAUAUGAAUGUGGGCAAUGUUAAAAAGUCUUAUAAUCUGAAAUAGAGG
rnacentral:pre_miRNA from 1 species